rnacentral:rRNA from 1 species
GACGAACGCUGGCGGCGUGCUUAACACAUGCAAGUCGAACGCUGAAGACCUGGCUUUUGUUGGGUUGGAUGAGUGGCGAACGGGUGAGUAACACGUGAGUAACCUGCCCUCUUCUUUGGGAUAACGCCCGGAAACGGGUGCUAAUACUGGAUAUUCACUGAUCUUCGCAUGGGGGUUGGUGGAAAGGUUUGUUCUGGUGGGGGAUGGGCUCGCGGCCUAUCAGCUUGUUGGUGGGGUGAUGGCCUACCAAGGCUUUGACGGGUAGCCGGCCUGAGAGGGUGACCGGUAACAUUGGGACUGAGAUACGGCCCAGACUCCUACGGGAGGCAGCAGUGGGGAAUAUUGCACAAUGGGCGAAAGCCUGAUGCAGCGACGCCGCGUGAGGGAUGGAGGCCUUCGGGUUGUAAACCUCUUUCGCUCAUGGUCAAGCCGCAACUGUGGGUUGUGGUGAGGGUAGUGGGUAAAGAAGCGCCGGCUAACUACGUG